rnacentral:rRNA from 1 species
GAAUAUUUGCCAAUGGGGGGAACCCUGAUCCAGCCAUGCCGCGUGUGUGAAGAAGGCCUUUUGGUUGUAACGCACUUUAAGCGAGGAGGAGGCUACUCUCGUUAAUACCUAUGCAUCGUGGACGUUACUCGCAGAAUAAGCACCUGCUAACUCGGUGCCCGCAGCCGCGGUAAUACAUAGGGUGCAAGCGUGAAUCGGAUUUACUGGGCGUAAAGCGCGCGUAGGUGGCCAGUUAAGUCAAAUGUGAAAUCCCCGAGCUUAACUUGGGAAUUGCAUUCGAUACUGGUUGGCUAGAGUAUGGGAGAGGAUGGUAGAAUUCCAGGUGUAGCGGUGAAAUGCGUAGAGAUCUGGAGGAAUACCGAUGGCGAAGGCAGCCAUCUGGCCUAAUACUGACACUGAGGUGCGAAAGCAUGGGGAGCAAACA